GGGCUGUUGUUAUCUGUUAGGAGAAGAAGAAUAAUAAUAAGGAAUAGUUUAGGGCUACUGAAUUUUGGGUAUAUUACAUAUAAAUUCACCGCCGAGGUACGCCAGCUAUAAUCGUGCAGAGUCCAGAGGUAUCGUCCAGUGGGUUGAGACACAAAGGUGUAAGCGAUCGUCGAACGCGUGACAGCCUGAGAAAGAUUACGCCGACGUUGAUUAAGAAGCGAACCGCGGAACCGCCGACGCGCAACCCCUUUUAUCGAAGCGAUCGAGGCUUCCCAGAGUGGGUUGUAGGUCGUAGGUAGCGAAUAGGUAAAGUUUUGUCCCGCCCAUCCUCGAAAAGGACUCUCCGACACCAUCCCCGUGGCGUAUUAUUAUUGUCGACCGCCGAUAUAAUUGGGAUUAGCUCCUGGAAAGCGUGCGUACCAAUCACCGCUGGACACUUUUCACGGCCAAUUUGCAUAUUUCGAUCCUAUCCGUCGGAUCGGAAGCGAAUUCGUUCGGUGUUAACGUUUAUUCCCGCAGUCGAGAGGGAUGAACCUUCAGGGGACGAUCGCUGGUGGAUAUUUUAUAUCGUAUUCGCUGUUGAAUAUUUUUGUACCGCGCCAAGGAAAUAGUUACGAGUUUUUCAAAAAAGAAAAAGAAAUCCGCAGUGUUCUCAUAAAACGAACGCAACGGAGAAUUUCGUUCCGGUGGAAACGUCGAUUCCUCGCGGAGUCGGUUAUCAGCGUUCCCGUUGAUUGGCAUCCAUGGCGAAAAUAAAAAGGAGAGACCGCUGGAAGUGUCGGCGAAGACAGACCCGUUUGAAAUAGUAACGAAGAAACCGAGAAACGGGAAAACGCGUUGGAAAAACCUGUGAAGCACGUUCGUGAACCGCACACUCCAGGGAGACCCCUGACCCGCCUGACCGUCGCUAUGGUGGUCCACGAGGCAAACAGGCUUUGAACCACCAAGCCUAUUUGGUACACGUGUCCUUGCACGCCGAAUCUCGACGAUCCUCCCCUGCGUAGGGCGAAGGAGCGGCCACAGGGCUCGCGACAAAAGGGCCCCGGCACGCGUGCUCACGUGCCAGUCGGUGGGACGACUUCGGCCCACUCGGUCCUCCUAUUGUUAUGAACAAUGAUUCUGCCGAAGUUCCAAGCGUUCUCUCAACUUUUACCUGAGUAGUAAAAAAGGAAACCAGAAGAGGAGAACAAUGAAGUACAGGAUUCCUGGAGUUUACCUUUCCCAAACCACAGAUCAAACAGAUCCGCGGCGCGGAAGGCGCCGCGGCCUCGCCGAAACGCGCCGUAUUUGACCAAUAAAUAAUUUAGCAAACAAAUUGAUCCCCAAGGACUAUAAACAGAUACUUAGGGGCACGCGACUACCUCGCUUGGAAAUCUACUGACCCACUGUCGACGUUCGCUGGCCAAUGGUUCCACUGGACAAUAAUUGAUCGGUCGAAUACGUGACCCCUACUGUGAGAACCGAGGCUACGGGCCCCGCGGCGUGAAAUCUCUAUUAUCGAGGGGUUGGAACGGUACCCCGUUGUUACCCGGCGCUCGUACGCGUAUCUGGACGAAACUGGUGCUGACAGGGUCCACCCUUGGUCUCGCUACCCUCGUCCCCUCGAAAAUAAUGUAAUCGCGAAUUAAAUGUUUGCUCGGAUAUCCGCGAUACGCUCGGUGGUCCUUCCAGAGGACCCGGGGAAUCUCGAUUACCGUUUCAGGGGGCAUUCUGAUUCGAAGAAUCAAUUUUUAAGGAUUUCUUGAAAUUUUUAACAUUUUAUAUUCAUAAGGAAGCUUUCUUUGUGCCUGUCGUUAUCUCACAAAGGUACAUUUAUGCGUUUUACAAUAGAAGCUUUUUAUUGAAAAUUAA